UACAGAGGGGGCAAGCGUUGUUCGGAAUCACUGGGCGUAAAGGGUGCGUAGGCGGGUCUUUAAGUCAGGGGUGAAAUCCUGGAGCUCAACUCCAGAACUGCCUUUGAUACUGAAGAUCUUGAGUUCGGGAGAGGUGAGUGGAACUGCGAGUGUAGAGGUGAAAUUCGUAGAUAUUCGCAAGAACACCAGUGGCGAAGGCAGCUCACUGGCCCGAUACUGACGCUGAGGCACGAAAGCGUGGGGAGCAAACAGG
rnacentral:rRNA from 1 species